rnacentral:SRP_RNA from 2 species
GCCGGGCAUGGUGGCGCGUGCCUGUAGUCCCAGCUACUCGGGAGGCUGAGGCAGAAGAAUCGCUUGAACCCAGGAGGCAGAGGUUGCAGUGAGCCGAGAUUGUGCCACUGCACUCCAGCCUGGGCAACAGAGUGAGACUCUGUCUCAA